GCGAAAGUGGUGAAAUUGGCAGACACGCCGGAUUUAGGUUCCGGCGCCUUUCGGCGUAGGGGUUCAAGUCCCCUCUUUCGCA
rnacentral:tRNA from 1 species